rnacentral:tRNA from 1 species
GCCGCCUUCACUCCUUCACUCGUAAUGAAUAGGUCGUCGGUUCGAUUCCGACAGGCGGCU